rnacentral:lncRNA from 1 species
GCUUUUAUCAGUUUUCUGCAUGGGAUGUAUUCAUUUGAAAUUUCUUAACUUUUUGAUGUUUGCUUAGAUGGCGAUAUUUCAAGUUUUGUCAUGGACUCAAAACUCCCAUUUGUUUAAGAAUUUUGACUUCUUCAUUUAUACAAGACAAUUUUUAAGUUUUGGGUGAGUAUUGGGAAUGUUAAAGGUUAGAAUUGGGAAUUAUAAGUGUGUUGUCGUUAUACUAGCUUAUAGUAUUGAGGUCUGCUGUGUAACCCAAUUUUCACCCAAUACUCAUAUAAAUUUGGUCAUAUCGAGCAAGGGCUCACCUAUGAUAUUACUAU